GCCGCAAUAGCUCAGUCGGUAGAGCACAUCAUUCGUAAUGAUGGGGUCGCAGGUUCGAAUCCUGUUUGCGGCA
rnacentral:tRNA from 1 species